CUCACCCAACUGGAGUGGGACCUCAAAACUGGGGCUUCAAAGUGAAACGCUGUCCUGGCCAACUGUCAACCUCGAGCUGGUGAACACGUCGUCAGGUUCACAUGAAGGAAUUUUACCUGUGUCUCAUUGGCUCAAGGAGGGAUGAUUCUGUCUGCUGACUCCUGGACUUGAAAGCAGAUGGUGGAGGAGCCCACGGCUUCUGGAACAGCACAGGUGGAGGUCAUGAUUUCUGCUGUUGCCCUUUGUCUUCCUACUGAAAGGCUGAUUGUCCCAGAAAUGUUUAAGGAAUAUGUGUGAACAUGUUUGUAUGUGUAAAUGUGUCUGUGUAAAAUUAGUUUUGCUCCAUAAAUCCACUUUUCUCAAGAGAAAGGUAAUAAAUCAGG